rnacentral:rRNA from 1 species
AUCGAACGCUGGCGGCAGGCCUAACACAUGCAAGUCGAGCGAGCGGCGGACGGGUGAGUAAUGUCUGGGCAACUGCCUGAUGGAGGGGGAUAACUACUGGAAACGGUAGCUUAUACCGCAUACUAUCAGAUGUGCCCAGCUGGGAUUAGCUAGUAGGGGGGGUAAUGGCUCACCAGGGAGACGAUCCCUAGCUGGUCUGAGAGGAUGACCAGCCAAAUUGGAACUGAGACACGGUCCAGACUCCUACGGGAGGCAGCAGUGGGGAAUCUUGCACAAUGGACGCAAGCCUGAUGCAGCCAUGCCGCGUGUAUGAAGAAGGCCUUCGGGUUGUAAAGUACUUUCAGCGGGGAGGCGGUACCCGCAGAAGAAACACCGGCUAACUCCGUGGCAACAGCCGCGGUAAUAC